rnacentral:rRNA from 1 species
UACGGAAGGCAGCAGUGGGGAAUAUUGCACAAUGGGCGCAAGCCUGAUGCAGCCAUGCCGCGUGUAUGAAGAAGGCCUUCGGGUUGUAAAGUACUUUCAGUCGUGAGGAAGGUGUUAAGGUUAAUAACCUUAGCAAUUGACGUUAGCGACAGAAGAAGCACCGGCUAACUCCGUGCCAGCAGCCGCGGUAAUACGGAGGGUGCGAGCGUUAAUCGGAAUUACUGGGCGUAAAGGGCACGCAGGCGGUUAAUUAAGUUGGAUGUGAAAUCCCCAGGCUUAACCUGGGAAUGGCAUUCAAGACUGGUUAGCUAGAGUCUUGUAGAGGGGGUAGAAUUCCAUGUGUAGCGGUGAAAUGCGUAGAGAUGUGGAGGAAUACCGGUGGCGAAGGCGGCCCCUGGGACAAAGACUGACGCUCAUGUGCGAAAGCGUGGGGAGCGAAACAGGAUUAGGAUACC